AUGGCGGCCAUACUUGAAACUUUGCUUAAAUCAAGUGUCCGUAAGUUGCAAGAUGUCAUUAUCGAUAAGGCCAUACUAAUCCUAGGGGUGGAAGAAGAGCUCACCAAACUACUGCAACGAGUGGAACUAAUUCAGUGUUGUAUAUAUGAUGCCGAGAAAAGGAGGACAAAAGAGCAAGUGGUAAACAAUUGGCUUGGUCAACUGAGAGAUGUUAUAUACGAUGUUGAUGAAAUCAUGGAUGUGGCUAGAUCUAAGGGAAGCAAGCUGCUUCCUGACCACCCCUCACCAUCAUCAGGCAAAUCGGUUGCAUGUAAAGGCCUUUCAGUUUCCUCUUGUUUUUGCAACAUAGUGACACGCCAUGAUGUUGCUGUUCGAAUUAGAAGCCUCAACAAAAAGAUUGAGAACAUUGCAAAUGACAAGAUAUUUUCAACUUUCAAUAAUAGUGCACAACCCAUUGGAAAUGGUCAAACAUCCAAACUGAUAAGAAGUUCCAACCUUGUUGAGCCCAACCUUGUGGGCAGGGAUAUUAUACAUUCUAAUAGGAAGUUGGUGGAGUUAGUGCUUGCACACAAGGAAUACAAGUCUUACAAGCUCGGUAUUGUUGGAACGGGUGGAGUUGGAAAGACAACACUAGCUCAGAAAAUAUACAAUGACCAAAGAAUAAAAGGAAGCUUCAAGAUGCAUGCAUGGAUUUGUGUUUCACGAGACUACAAUGAAGUUACUCUACUCAAAGAGGUUCUCCGGAAUAUUGGUGUGUAUCAUGAGCAAGGUGAAACCAUAGCAGAAUUGCAGAGUAAACUUGCAGAAACAAUUGAAGGAAAGAGUUUUUUUUCUAGUUCUAGAUGA
rnacentral:rRNA from 1 species